rnacentral:rRNA from 1 species
AAUCUGCCUACUAGUGGGGGAUAGCUCGGGGAAACUCGAAUUAAUACCGCAUACGACCUACGGGUGAAAGGGGGCGCAAGCUCUUGCUAUUAGAUGAGCCUAAAUCAGAUUAGCUAGUUGGUGGGGUAAAGGCCCACCAAGGCGACGAUCUGUAACUGGUCUGAGAGGAUGAUCAGUCACACCGGAACUGAGACACGGUCCGGACUCCUACGGGAGGCAGCAGUGGGGAAUAUUGGACAAUGGGGGCAACCCUGAUCCAGCCAUGCCGCGUGUGUGAAGAAGGCCUUUUGGUUGUAAAGCACUUUAAGCAGGGAGGAGAGGCUAAUGGUUAAUACCCAUUAGAUUAGACGUUACCUGCAGAAUAAGCACCGGCUAACUCUGUGCCAGCAGCCGCGGUAAUACAGAGGGUGCGAGCGU